CCUACGGGGUGCAGCAGUGGGGAUAUUGGACAAUGGGCGAAAGCCUGACGGAGCAAUGCCGCGUGGAGGUAGAAGGCCCACGGGUCGUGAACUCCUUUUCCCGGAGAAGAAGCAAUGACGGUAUCCGGGGAAUAAGCAUCGGCUAACUCUGUGCCAGCAGCCGCGGUAAUACGAAGGGGGCUAGCGUUGUUCGGAAUUACUGGGCGUAAAGCGCGCGUAGGCGGAUAGAUAAGUCAGAGGUGAAAUCCCGGGGCUCAACCUCGGAAUUGCCUUUGAUACUGUUUAUCUUGAGUGCAGAAGAGGUAAGUGGAAUUCCGAGUGUAGAGGUGAAAUUCGUAGAUAUUCGGAGGAACACCAGUGGCGAAGGCGGCUUACUGGUCUGCAACUGACGCUGAGGCGCGAAAGCGUGGGGAGCAAACAGGAUUAGAUACCCGAGUAGUC
rnacentral:rRNA from 1 species